rnacentral:lncRNA from 1 species
UACCGCCGCCGCCGCCAGCUCGUUAUCCUCCUCCCUGCAGCCCCGCAACAAGUCCUGCGCCUCCUCGGGAUCCAAGUGACCCACGGGUCCGUUCCCACUCGUACCGCCGCCGCCGCCGCCGCUGGAGUCCUUCCUGCCGCCGCCCCGAAGUGCUGGACCCACCGCAAGCAACACCGAAUCGCCGUGCAUGGGUACGCGAUGUACGACAGCGCGGUACGGCGCGACGGGCUCGCACGACGCCGCGCCGAUCCAUAACGACACGAGGCGCUGUAUGGUGGCGUUGAUGGCGCACACAGCAGUGUCCAAGUUGGAGGUGAGGCUGUAAAGGUGGUCG